GUGGGGAAUAUUGGGCAAUGGGCGCAAGCCUGACCCAGCAACGCCGCGUGAAGGAAGAAGGCUUUCGGGUUGUAAACUUCUUUUACCAGGGACGAAACAAAUGACGGUACCUGGUGAAUAAGCCACGGCUAACUACGUGCCAGCAGCCGCGGUAAUACGUAGGUGGCGAGCGUUAUCCGGAUUUAUUGGGUGUAAAGGGCGUGUAGGCGGGACAGCAAGUCAGAUGUGAAAACCAGAGGCUCAACCUCUGGCCUGCAUUUGAAACUGUUGUUCUUGAGUGUCGGAGAGGUAAUCGGAAUUCCGUGUGUAGCGGUGAAAUGCGUAGAUAUACGGAGGAACACCAGUGGCGAAGGCGGAUUACUGGACGAUAACUGACGCUGAGGCGCGAAAGCGUGGGGAGCAAAUAGGAUUAGAAACCCCGGUAGUCC
rnacentral:rRNA from 1 species